AUUGAACGCUGGCGGCAUGCCUUACACAUGCAAGUCGAACGGCAGCACGGGAGCAAUCCUGGUGGCGAGUGGCGAACGGGUGAGUAAUAUAUCGGAACGUGCCCAGUCGUGGGGGAUAACGUAGCGAAAGCUACGCUAAUACCGCAUACGAUCUACGGAUGAAAGCGGGGGAUCGCAAGACCUCGCGCGAUUGGAGCGGCCGAUAUCAGAUUAGCUAGUUGGUGGGGUAAAAGCUCACCAAGGCGACGAUCUGUAGCUGGUCUGAGAGGACGACCAGCCACACUGGAACUGAGACACGGUCCAGACUCCUACGGGAGGCAGCAGUGGGGAAUAUUGCACAAUGGGGGAAACCCUGAUGCAGCAACGCCGCGUGAGCGAUGAAGGCCCUUGGGUCGUAAAGCUCUGUCCUUGGGGAAGAAAAAAAUGACGGUACCCAUGGAGGAAGCCCCGGCUAACUACGUG
rnacentral:rRNA from 1 species